UUGUGGGUGGCGAGUGGCGGACGGGUGAGUACGCGGAGGAUCUGCCUAUAGUGGGGACACCGACGAAAGUCGGGCUAAUACCGCAUACGCCUAGGGGAAAGGCUUCGGCCGCUAUUGGAUGAGCCGCGUCGGAUCAGCUAUUUGGUGAGGUAAUGGCUCACCAAGGCGACGAUCCGUAACUGGUCUGAAAGGACGAUCACCACACUGGGACUGAACCGGCCAACUCCUACGGGAGCUGGGGAAUAUUGCACAAUGGGCGAAAGCCUGAUGCAGCAAUGCCGCGUGUGUGAAAAGGCCUGCGGGUUGUAAAGCACUUUCGGUAGGGAAGAUUAUGACGGUACCUACAGAAGAAGCACCGGUUAACUCCGUGCCAGCAGCCGCGGUAAUACGGAGGGUGCAAGCGUUAAUCAAAUUACUGGGCGUAAAGCGCGCGUAGCGGCUUUGUAAGUCGGAUGUGAAAGCCCCGGGCUUACCUGGGAAUUGCAUUCGAUACUGCAUAGCUAGAGUAUGGUAGAGGGUAGCGGAAUUCCGGGUGUAGCGGUGAAAUGCGUAGAUAUCCGGAGGAACACCAGUGGCGAAGGCGGCUAACCUGGACCAAUA
rnacentral:rRNA from 1 species